rnacentral:rRNA from 1 species
UGAGGAAUAUUGGUCAAUGGGCGGAAGCCUGAACCAGCCAAGUCGCGUGAGGGAAGACGGUCCUAUGGAUUGUAAACCUCUUUUGCAGGGGAGCAAGACCCUGUUACGUGUAACAGGUUGGAGAGUACCCUGAGAAAAAGCAUCGGCUAACUCCGUGCCAGCAGCCGCGGUAAUACGGAGGAUGCGAGCGUUAUCCGGAUUUAUUGGGUUUAAAGGGUGCGUAGGCGGGCUGGUAAGUCAGCGGUAAAAAUGCGGUGCUCAACGCCGUAGUGCCGUUGAAACUGCCGGUCUUGAGUGAGCGAGAAGUAUGCGGAAUGCGUGGUGUAGCGGUGAAAUGCAUAGAUAUCACGCAGAACUCCGAUUGCGAAGGCAGCAUACCGGCGCUCAACUGACGCUGAGGCACGAAAGCGUGGGGAUCGAACAGGAUUAGAUACC